AUGGAUAAUUUAGUGUGUUUAAAGUUAUUCAAAACGAGAAAAAAAAGUAGUAAAAAUAAAAUAUAUACUAUUUUACCUAAUGAAAGUAAUAAUAUAGUAGCUUUGCUUUACAUUCAAAAUAAUGUUAGUCUCGAACAAAAAAGUUUUAGAUUAUGUUAUAAUUUUUCAAAUGGCUGCAAUAAUGACGUUUUACUGAAUAAUAACAUAGUCAGCUGUUUUUGGGUAUAUUGUGAUAAAAACAUGUUUACAAAAAAUGGAGGUGUAAAACAUGAAGUUCCAAUUUUGAUAGCACAACAACCUACUCAAUUAAAUUUUUACAAUUUUACUCAUGUCAGUAGAGUAAAUGCACAAUUAAAAAGCAGUGAAAUAAUUAUACAAGAUAAUUCAUUGCAACUCAGUUAUAAAAAAAAAAAUGGAAGCAAUGAUAAAAGAAAUAUUAUAUAUAACUUUUAUAUAACCUACGACAAACUGUUUACUUUUGUCGGAUCACUAGAUAAUAACCUUUCUAUUCUUAAAUCAUUUGAUAAAAAGUUUAUCAAAAUAAUAUUAAAAAAGGAAAACACCUUUUUUAUUAUACUAAAUGACAUAAUAUGCGUAAAAAUAGUUGCUGAUGGAUUAAGCUUAAAAGUGAAAAGGAUAACAGCCUUGCAAAAUAUUUCGAUAAAUUUUAAUUAUUAUACUUAUUUUAUCAAGUGUGUGUGCAGAAACAAUUUCUUAUUUCUGUUAACUCUCACACCUCAACAAUAUUUGAUAAUUUUUAAGAAAGGAAUUCCUUAUUUGGCCAUUAAUAUCAAUGAGCAUGGUAAUUAGUGAAUGUUUUUUUUGCAGCUUUUUUUUUUAUUAUUUCCUUGUUAUCAAAAAAAAAAAAAAAACAGCUCAUCGGCGUAUUUUCAUAUAUCCCACAAUUAUUUUAUACAUAUAUAAACACACUUAACCAUUUAUUUAAUCAUUUAUUUAACCAUUUAUUUAACAAUUUUUUUUUUUUUUUUUUUUUUUUUUUUUAAGUACUCACGUUCUUUACCAAUUUUGAAGUUAACCAUGAUUCGUCAAAAGUGUUGCUAAUUGAUUUUCGCAACCAAGUUUGGUUUUUUGAUUUGAAAAUGUAAGUGAAAAAGAAGAAAAAAAUAUUAGAUGUACAAAAAAAAAAAAAAAAAAAAUGAGAACA
rnacentral:lncRNA from 1 species